UACGAAGGGAGCUAGCGUUGUUCGGAAUUACUGGGCGUAAAGGGCGCGUAGGCGGUCUAAUAAGUCAGGUGUGAAAGCCCUGGGCUCAACCCGGGAACUGCGCUUGAUACUAUUAGUCUAGAAUUCGGGAGAGGUUGGUAGAAUUCCCAGUGUAGAGGUGAAAUUCGUAGAGAUUGGGAAGAAUACCCGUGGCGAAGGCGGCCAACUGGACCGACAUUGACGCUGAGGCGCGAAAGCGUGGGGAG
rnacentral:rRNA from 1 species